rnacentral:rRNA from 1 species
CAGUCGCCGCGGGAAUACGAAGGGUGCAAGCGUUAAUCGGAAUUACUGGGCGUAAAGCGUGCGUAGGCGGUGAGUUAAGUCUGCUGUGAAAUCCCCGGGCUUAACCUGGGAAUGGCAGUGGAUACUGGCUCGCUAGAGUGUGUCAGAGGAUGGUGGAAUUCCCGGUGUAGCGGUGAAAUGCGUAGAGAUCGGGAGGAACAUCAGUGGCGAAGGCGACCACCUGGACUGAUACUGACACUGAGGUGCGAAAGCGUGGGGAGCAAACAGGAUUAGAUACCCGCGUAGUCCCUGUCUCUUAUAA